rnacentral:ribozyme from 1 species
GGGAGGCGGGGCCUCCCGCCUUAAUGCAGCCGCCUAUAGGUGCUGGUCGCAAGCCCAGAAAAAUGCAGAGCGGGGU